AGUGAACGCUGGCGGUAGACCUAACACAUGCAAGUCGAACGGCAGCACAGUAAGAGCUUGCUCUUACGGGUGGCGAGUGGCGGACGGGUGAGGAAUACAUCGGAAUCUACUUUUUCGUGGGGGAUAACGUAGGGAAACUUACGCUAAUACCGCAUACGACCUACGGGUGAAAGCAGGGGAUCUUCGGACCUUGCGCGAUUGAAUGAGCCGAUGUCGGAUUAGCUAGUUGGCGGGGUAAAGGCCCACCAAGGCGACGAUCCGUAGCUGGUCUGAGAGGAUGAUCAGCCACACUGGAACUGAGACACGGUCCAGACUCCUACGGGAGGCAGCAGUGGGGAAUAUUGGACAAUGGGCGCAAGCCUGAUCCAGCCAUACCGCGUGGGUGAAGAAGGCCUUCGGGUUGUAAAGCCCUUUUGUUAGGAAAGAAAAGCAGCAGGUUAAUACCCCGCUGUUCUGACGGUACCCAAAGAAUAAGCACCGGCUAACUUCGUG
rnacentral:rRNA from 1 species